CAAUGGAGCCUUCAGUUGAUGCUAAAAAUACUGAAAAUAAUAGCUCAGAGUUUGCUGUCAAUGGCCAUCCAGACCAAAAUGACUCCAGCGAUUCUGACUUAAGUAACAUUGAUGAUGGUGACAACUCUAAGGAUGAAGAUGGUUCUACCGACACAAUAUCUUCAUAUCAUGUGAAUGAUUUCCAGCGACUGGCUCUUGCGUGUGAUGAUGGUUCUGUACGAUUGUAUAAUGUGCCUGAAUCAGGUGCAUUGACUUACUAUAGGUCUCUUCCAAGAGUGAGCGGGCGGACUCUAGUUAUGAUUUUGGUGUAUUUUACCUAAUUCUCAGUAUCUGGGAGGUAAGAGUGACUUGUUUGGGCAUAUGGCUGCUCGUUAGCUCUUCAUAUUUCUCUGCACGCCAAUUCUACUGUAACUGGAUGUUGCUAUUGCCAUUUCAUUUUAUAGGAGAUGGUGCCACAUUGGAAUCAGUUCCAGACCUUGUGAAGGCAAUGUACCUAAACGUUGAAAGCUUCCCUUGUGUGAGGCUGUUGAAUCUUUCUGGUGAAAUUGGCUGUUCUAAUCCUGGAAGUGAGAAGGUCAUUGCACCAAUUGUAAGACUUAGAAAAGGCAGUGAUCAAUUGGUUCAACCAUCUACUAUUCUCCUUUCCUUAGAUCAGAUGUUAGAUUUCUUUCUGAGGU